rnacentral:sRNA from 2 species
GUGGGGGCCACACCAACCUGUGGAUGGAGACGGGGGACCCAACCGGUCCACCGAUACGGACCUGAGGCCCAGUGGGCCUCUUGGGGUGAAGCCGACGUAGUACCCGCGGGGAUACCCUGCGGCCAUGAUGCCGGCCGGGCAGCCUCUCCAGCCCGAACCCGACAGCUGACCUCGUGGGCGCGCAUGACGAGAGGAACU